rnacentral:miRNA from 1 species
AAUUGCACAGUAUCCAUCUGUA